AUUGAACGCUGGCGGCAUGCCUUACACAUGCAAGUCGAACGGUAACAGGUCUUCGGAUGCUGACGAGUGGCGAACGGGUGAGUAAUACAUCGGAACGUGCCCGAUCGUGGGGGAUAACGAGGCGAAAGCUUUGCUAAUACCGCAUACGAUCUACGGAUGAAAGCGGGGGAUCUUCGGACCUCGCGCGGACGGAGCGGCCGAUGGCAGAUUAGUUAGUUGGUGGGAUAAAAGCUUACCAAGCCGACGAUCUGUAGCUGGUCUGAGAGGAUGAUCAGCCACACUGGGACUGAGACACGGCCCAGACUCCUACGGGAGGCAGCAGUGGGGAAUUUUGGACAAUGGGCGAAAGCCUGAUCCAGCCAUGCCGCGUGCAGGAUGAAGGCCUUCGGGUUGUAAACUGCUUUUGUACGGAACGAAAAGCCUCUUUCUAAUAAAGAGGGGUCAUGACGGUACCGUAAGAAUAAGCACCGGCUAACUACGUG
rnacentral:rRNA from 1 species